UUUUUUAUUUAUUUUCAACAAUCACAUCACUUCUUAAAGUUACACAGCGUCAUACGGAAAUUCUAUCCCAAUAAAGCUGGGGGAGGACGAGAUUAAGACUCAACUGUCUGAAUGUGGGCACCAGGCCAAGCAGUGGCUUUUGGCUUUACAAAGGUGGUGGGUUCUUGGUGACCCUGACAGGAGCACUUUUUAGUAGAGUUAAGUUCAAGAAAGAAUAGAAAAGAAAUAAGAAAGUAAGCACAGAUAAAUCUUUCUACACAUUUUAUUGUAAAGGGAAGCAAAGAAGUGAGACAACAGCUAGAAGAUGACAUGAACUCAAGGAAGGGUCUUUUGGGGACUGGCUACAGUACAUCAGGUUCAUACACUGAAAUAAAUAUUCUGGAGACUGAAAACCUGAUGCUAUGGAAACAGAAGGGGCCGAGCACUGCUGAAGCAAUAUUCUGAUGCUGGCAGGAGGCUUGAGAUCCAGAGGACAAAGGACAAGGAGAAAAGCUGGCCUUAGUUCCUUCAUGAAACGAACAGAAAGGAGAAUUCAGCGUUGACAAGUGUAAUAACUUACUCACCUGCUCAAGAAGGUGAGGGUAUCGAGCUUGAAUCUCAUCAACAAAGUCCUGCCCUUUCAUGCGUAUCAAGAACUCACAUCUAUAACAGAAGAUGACAAUUACUUGUGAAGUGUUUUAUACCU